UACGUAGGGAGCGAGCGUUGUCCGGAUUCAUUGGGCGUAAAGAGCUCGUAGGCGGCUUGAUAAGUCGGAUGUGAAACCUCCAGGCUCAACCUGGGGUCGCCAUCCGAUACUGUCAUGGCUAGAGUCCGGUAGGGGCCCACGGAAUUCCUGGUGUAGCGGUGAAAUGCGCAGAUAUCAGGAGGAACACCGGUGGCGAAGGCGGUGGGCUGGGCCGGCACUGACGCUGAGGAGCGAAAGCGUGGGGAGCGAACAGG
rnacentral:rRNA from 1 species